rnacentral:rRNA from 1 species
UACGUAGGUGGCAAGCGUUAUCCGGAAUCACUGGGCGUAAAGCGCACGUAGGCGGAUUGCUAAGUCAGGGGUGAAAUCCUGGAGCUCAACUCCAGAACUGCCUUUGAUACUGGCGAUCUUGAGUCCGGGAGAGGUGAGUGGAACUGCGAGUGUAGAGGUGAAAUUCGUAGAUAUUCGCAAGAACACCAGUGGCGAAGGCGGCUCACUGGCCCGGUACUGACGCUGAGGUGCGAAAGCGUGGGGAGCAAACAGG